GGUCCGUUGGUCAAGGGGUUAAGACACCGCCUUUUCACGGCGGUAACGCGGGUUCGAAUCCCGUACGGACUAUCA
rnacentral:tRNA from 1 species